rnacentral:lncRNA from 1 species
UUUUUUUUUUUUUUUUUUGUCUUUUUAGAACCACACCUGCAGCAUAUGGAAGUUCCCAGGCUAGGAGUCAAAUCUGAACUACAGUUUCUGGCCAACAUCACAGCCAUGGCAACAUGGGAUCCUCAACCCACUGAAAGAGGCCAGGGAUCGAACCUGCAUCGCAAUGGUAAUAGUUGGGUUUGUUUCUGCUGAACUCCAAUAAUUAAUUAUAUUUUAUAAUGCUCUAGAAACCUAAAAAGCAUUUGUACACAAGUAUCUUAUUUUCCGUAGAAGGCUUCUAAAAAGGAUAAAACAAGUAGGAUCACUAGUUUACAAGCGAGGAGAUCAAGACUUGGAUUUGUUAAGUGAGUUAGUUGCCCAGUAACUGCCUAGAAAAUACCCCUGUGGAGACUGAAACCCAGGUCUCUGAUGGGAUCAUCACUAGAUGAGACUAAACAGCCAGACUGGGCUCAGCGCCACAGCUCACUAGUCAUGUGACUUGGGUGAGCUGUGUCACCCCUCUGUGCUUCAGAUGCCUGGUCUGUAACAUGAGGAACAUAAACGUGUCUCUCCACAAGUCUUAAACGAGCAGCCAGAACACACAGUAAGCCCUGAACACAAACCCCCUAGUUAGACCCGCCCAGAGCUCUCCUCACUACAUCGUAUUACUGCUUGAGCAAGGUAAUGUGUUUUUCAAGUAUUCUGUAGAUCAACCUGGAUCUGAAUUUUGUCCCUAAAAUUACCUGCUAUCCUGUGACAUGGGUAAGUUACAUAAGCUCGCUGAACCCAUUGCCCAUCAAUGAAAGAGAAAGGAUAAUUGUCACUUCCUACAGAUGUCAUUGCUAUUAAACCAGGUAAUACCAUAAAUCACUUAGUACCUGCUCAGCAUGGUAUAAACACAGUAUAAAUGGGAGUUACCAUUACCAAAGUCAUACAAACAAUAUUUCUGUAGCGGAAGCUUGCAUCUGCAGUUACAGGGUCUCUAAUUCCAUGGAAAACCACUCCUUAAUGACUUCUCAAAAAUUUCAAGGGGUGUUGAAUAUGGCAAGUUCUUUUAUCAACCUCAUAGCUUCUGCCUCUGGGGCAGCCACCUUGGGUGAGGAAGGACUUAGUAACAGACUCCUUUUAGAGGGGUGGACACAAUAAAUCACUUUACUGGACACUCAGCUAGGUCAAAACACUCACUCAGUGGGUCAAACCCACCGAGCAAGGCCUGGGAUCGAACCUGCAUCCUCACAAAGACUAUGUCAGGUUCUUAGCCCGCUGAGCCACAAUGGGAACUCCUAUACUUAACUUUGAAAUGAGUGAGCCACUGCAAGACAGGGAGGGACUCACCCAGCAACUGUGCCAUGGAAACUUCCUUCACAUCCUAUGCUUCUUGCUCCAGGUGGGACAGCUAACAAACAAAGGAAGAAAAUUCUAUAUAUCUGAAUGAAGUAGGCCACUUGAUAGAUUCCCCCAAAGAAAUUUCAAGUCCUACAAAUUGACAGUAAGCCUCAUCAAUCUCAUUUCAGCCAGGAGAUGGUCAUUUUUUUUGCAAAUAAACCGCAUAGGACAUUGCAACAUUUGGGAACUAAAAAAGAAAAAAAAAACUGUGCUACUUUUCAGAGCACAGAAUUUCAUAGAGAUUUAAGAGUGAUGCUAUUAUGAUGAUUAAGCAAGGACCAAUAGAACCAAGGAGUUGAAAUUUUAUGGGAAAUGGAAAAUGAAGAAAAAAUUGGGAGUGCUGUUCAAUAUAUACCUGAAGUAGAGCUUCAUUAAUUAGCUGAAUGACACGAAUACUUAGCUGGAUGACUAAGUGAAGGGACAAUUUUCAGCAUAUCAAUCUGAGUCAUCAUUCACAUGCUAAUCAGCUAGUCUAAGUUCCAUGCUAGGAAUUACUAAUCACAAGGAAUAUAAAGAAGUCUAGUCCUCAGCCCCUAACUUCAUGAAACUACAGCCUGGCUGGCAAGAUGGGGUGCACUGCAUGCAUUCUGCAAACAUUCACCCUGGGCCAGGCUUGUCACUAGACAUCUAGGACCAAGAUGGUUAAGGGAGCUUCUUCCCUCCAGGAACUCAAGGUUGAUUUGGGAGGAAAACAAAACAUAACAGAACAAAACUAUGAAAAAACACUAACAUUUUGGUUCUUUAAUAAGAGUCAAUGCAGAAGUAUAAAAACAGUAGCCAUUCAUAAGCCUCCCAGGCCCUCCAUGAGCCCCUACCAUAUUCACAACAACCUGCUGUGGAUUACGAUCACGGCUUUUGUCUUGGAAAAAACAGAGCAGCUGAAGUUCAGAGAGGUUGUGUGUCGUGCCUCCAGUCACAGAGUUAGAACAGGCAUUAGAACCUAGGCACGCUUGGUUCCAAAGUUCCUGAUUUUCUUGACAGUUUGCCAUUUCCAUCAAGGAACUUCAUACCAUGGCAUCUAAGAGUGAGAAAUGACUAACUGUGCUGGGAGAAAUCAGGGAAGGCUUCACAGAGGAAGUGACACAAGGAGAUAGCAAAUAAAAUCAUGGGUGUUCCAAGGUACAAACUUCCAGUUAUAAGAUAGAGAAGAAACAGGUAUAUAAUGUACAACACGAUUAAUAUCAUUAUCACUACCAUAUGUUACAUAUGAAAAUUGCUAACAUUUAAGUCCUAAGAGUUCUCGUCACAAGGAAUUUUUGUUCGUUAAUUUUUAAUGAGAUGAUGGAUGUUCAUUGAACUUGUAAUGGUAAUUAUUUCAGGAUACAUGCAAGUCAAAUCAUUAUUCUGUAUUCCUUACACUUAUAGGGCACUGUGUCAAUUACAUCUCAACAAAACUGCAAGGAAAAAAUAAUAAAAUUUAGUACUAUUAGAAGUUUUAAUAAUCUAUCUUGCUCUGCAUAAAUUUUCACUUACUUUGUAAAUGAUUGAAACUUUUUAAACUUUAAUUUAAAGAACAAAUAGACUAUAGUCUUUAAAUUUCAUCUCAGUGUACGAUUUAUCUUAGGAAAUAACAGAAGGCUGUGGAAACGGGGUUUUGGUCUUAUCUUCUGCAUAUGACCACUAGAUGGCGAUAGCUGCACAUUCAUUCUAAGGCCAGUCUGUGAAAGGGUCACCAUUUCAGCAGUUGGCUUCACUGUAAGUACUUCUUUUAAGAAUCUAAAUUUCCGUAUCAGAAGUGGCUCACAGAAGGAUGGAUGUUUAAGACUAUGUAAUAUCUUUGCUAUAUCUGUGUUAAGAACUGGUUGUCUUUCCCAGCUAGCUGACAUCACAUCAUUUAAAAAGUUAUGAAUAUAUUAGUUUCCUAAAAAUGGCACAAAUACAGAGAUUUAAUUCUGUGUAGAUUACUGUUUUAUGCACAAAAUAAUAUAUUUAUAUUCACUUUUUAAAAAAAUCGAUGCUGAGACAGAAUCACUUCAUGGAGCCUUACGUUAUUUCUUCUAUUAAGUAAAUAUGAUUUCCAAGGCAAUCUGCCUAAAGUUGGCUUUCAACAAUUAUUUGUGAAAAUGAACAUCAGAUUCAGUUUGUGUUUGGUUUAAAGUAAAUUGAUUUGAAUGUGAGCCCAGAACUGGAAUGGUUUCUUCACAUUUUUAGACUCGAUAUCCAUUUGACACCAGGAAAGCAUGGAAAUGUUAUUUUGGCUAUGAAGUUGCCAUGAGAAGCCCACUAAGCAUGUCAUAUCAUAGAAAGAGCUCCAAGCAAAGCCAUUAUGUGGAGAGGCCAAUUAUAGGACCCUAGGAAUAAACCGCCUACAGCCUGUGUGCACAUUAGGUUUAAGUUGUAGGAAGAGAGGAUGAGAAGCUGGAAAGAAAAAUGAAAAUGAUCCAAAGUAAUGAACACGCUCAUUUUCAGUAAAUAACAGCCAACUGUUAAACCACCAAUUCCUGAUAAGGGUAUGCAAACCUUAAAACAUGUGCAGAAUUGCUUCUGGGUUAAAAACAUAUUUCAUCCACAUGCUGGAAAUAUUUAUAAGCCAUUACUUUAAUAUUAAGACACUUAACACACUUAAUUUUGUUUUCAGAGCAUUUUACAAAUUAUUCUCGAACUUCAUGUAUGUAAGAAAUGGAUAGGAAUUUACCUUACCUAAACCUCACCUCAAGACAUGUUUCACUGAUCUACUUUUUAAAAAUUUGAUUUCCAGGAUAAGUUUUGUAUUAUGUUUCCAUUUGAAUAGAACAUAGAAAAUAUAUUAAGUGGGAAAAUAAAAUUUUAAAAAUUUUUUAAAAAAGAAAAUAUAUUAAGGAAAAAAAGAUACUGUUGAUCACCAGCAGAGAGCGCUAUCCUCAAACCUAAAAAUCCCACACUCCACUGAUAAAGUACCUUUGCUCUCUUGAAUGAUGCUUCAGCAUAAUCCAGUUUAACCACAGCAUUAUAAUUUUUUUUAGGUAUUUAACCAUAUAUUUAAAGGGUGGAACUCUUGCCUUGCAGAAUGUGACCGCUUAUACAUGCAAAGAGUACCCACCAUUUACCUAAGUUAAUGACAAGAAAAGCUAAAAGGAUGCCAUUCUGUAGCAUCACACUCAUCAUAAUUUAUAACUUUAAUGUUUAGCUCUUGCAUUCACCUAAAUGAAAUGUAUGAUUCCUUUAUUUGCUCUCAGAGUCCACAAAAAUCUCUAUUUAGGAAUGCAUCAUUUUAUGAGGAUUGCUAAUUUUUCCUGGUUAAUUGGAAAAUGAAUAAACAU